rnacentral:rRNA from 1 species
GAUAACGGCGUCGAGCGGCGGACGGGUGAGUAAUGCCUAGGAAAUUGCCCUGAUGUGGGGGAUAACCAUUGGAAACGAUGGCUAAUACCGCAUAAUGCCUACGGGCCAAAGAGGGGGACCUUCGGGCCUCUCGCGUCAGGAUAUGCCUAGGUGGGAUUAGCUAGUUGGUGAGGUAAUGGCUCACCAAGGCGACGAUCCCUAGCUGGUCUGAGAGGAUGAUCAGCCACACUGGAACUGAGACACGGUCCAGACUCCUACGGGAGGCAGCAGUGGGGAAUAUUGCACAAUGGGCGCAAGCCUGAUGCAGCCAUGCCGCGUGUGUGAAGAAGGCCUUCGGGUUGUAAAGCACUUUCAGUCGUGAGGAAGGUAGUGUAGUUAAUAGCUGCAUUAUUUGACGUUAGCGACAGAAGAAGCACCGGCUAACUCCGUGCCAGCAGCCGCGGUAAUACGGAGGGUGCGAGCGUUAAUCGGAAUUACUGGGCGUAAAGCGCAUGCAGGUGGUUUGUUAAGUCAGAUGUGAAAGCCCGGGGCUCAACCUCGGAAUAGCAUUUGAAACUGGCAGACUAGAGUACUGUAGAGGGGGGUAGAAUUUCAGGUGUAGCGGUGAAAUGCGUAGAGAUCUGAAGGAAUACCGGUGGCGAAGGCGGCCCCCUGGACAGAUACUGACACUCAGAUGCGAAAGCGUGGGGAGCAAACAGGAUUAGAUACCCUGGUAGUCCACGCCGUAAACGAUGUCUACUUGGAGGUUGUGGCCUUGAGCCGUGGCUUUCGGAGCUAACGCGUUAAGUAGACCGCCUGGGGAGUACGGUCGCAAGAUUAAAACUCAAAUGAAUUGACGGGGGCCCGCACAAGCGGUGGAGCAUGUGGUUUAAUUCGAUGCAACGCGAAGAACCUUACCUACUCUUGACAUCCAGAGAACUUUCCAGAGAUGGAUUGGUGCCUUCGGGAACUCUGAGACAGGUGCUGCAUGGCUGUCGUCAGCUCGUGUUGUGAAAUGUUGGGUUAAGUCCCGCAACGAGCGCAACCCUUAUCCUUGUUUGCCAGCGAGUAAUGUCGGGAACUCCAGGGAGACUGCCGGUGAUAAACCGGAGGAAGGUGGGGACGACGUCAAGUCAUCAUGGCCCUUACGAGUAGGGCUACACACGUGCUACAAUGGCGCAUACAGAGGGCAGCAAGCUAGCGAUAGUGAGCGAAUCCCAAAAAGUGCGUCGUAGUCCGGAUUGGAGUCUGCAACUCGACUCCAUGAAGUCGGAAUCGCUAGUAAUCGUGGAUCAGAAUGCCA